rnacentral:rRNA from 1 species
GACGAACGCUGGCGGCGUGCUUAACACAUGCAAGUCGAACGGAAAGGCCCUGCUUUUGUGGGGUGCUCGAGUGGCGAACGGGUGAGUAACACGUGAGUAACCUGCCCUUGACUUUGGGAUAACUUCAGGAAACUGGGGCUAAUACCGGAUAGGAGCUCCUGCUGCAUGGUGGGGGUUGGAAAGUUUCGGCGGUUGGGGAUGGACUCGCGGCUGAUCAGCUUGUUGGUGGGGUAGUGGCUUACCAAGGCUUUGACGGGUAGCCGGCCUGAGAGGGUGACCGGCCACAUUGGGACUGAGAUACGGCCCAGACUCCUACGGGAGGCAGCAGUGGGGAAUAUUGCACAAUGGGCGGAAGCCUGAUGCAGCAACGCCGCGUGCGGGAUGACGGCCUUCGGGUUGUAAACCGCUUUCGCCUGUGACGAAGCGUGAGUGACGGUAAUGGGGAAAGAAGCACCGGCUAACUACGU